rnacentral:rRNA from 1 species
CUAUCUACAGGCUUAACACAUGCAAGUCGAGGGGCAUCAGGAAGAAAGCUUGCUUUCUUUGCUGGCGACCGGCGCACGGGUGAGUAACACGUAUCCAACCUGCCCUUUACUCGGGGAUAGCCUUUCGAAAGAAAGAUUAAUACCCGAUGGCAUAAUGAUUCCGCAUGGUUUCAUUAUUAAAGGAUUCCGGUAAAGGAUGGGGAUGCGUUCCAUUAGGUUGUUGGUGAGGUAACGGCUCACCAAGCCUUCGAUGGAUAGGGGUUCUGAGAGGAAGGUCCCCCACAUUGGAACUGAGACACGGUCCAAACUCCUACGGGAGGCAGCAGUGAGGAAUAUUGGUCAAUGGGCGCUAGCCUGAACCAGCCAAGUAGCGUGAAGGAUGAAGGCUCUAUGGGUCGUAAACUUCUUUUAUAUAAGAAUAAAGUGCAGUAUGUAUACUGUUUUGUAUGUAUUAUAUGAAUAAGGAUCGGCUAACUCCGUGCCAGUAGCCGCGGUAAUACGGAGGAUCCGAGCGUUAUCCGGAUUUAUUGGGUUUAAAGGGAGCGUAGGUGGACUGGUAAGUCAGUUGUGAAAGUUUGCGGCUCAACCGUAAAAUUGCAGUUGAUACUGUCAGUCUUGAGUACAGUAGAGGUGGGCGGAAUUCGUGGUGUAGCGGUGAAAUGCUUAGAUAUCACGAAGAACUCCGAUUGCGAAGGCAGCUCACUGGACUGCAACUGACACUGAUGCUCGAAAGUGUGGGUAUCAAACAGGAUUAGAUACCCUGGUAGUCCACACAGUAAACGAUGAAUACUCGCUGUUUGCGAUAUACAGUAAGCGGCCAAGCGAAAGCAUUAAGUAUUCCACCUGGGGAGUACGCCGGCAACGGUGAAACUCAAAGGAAUUGACGGGGGCCCGCACAAGCGGAGGAACAUGUGGUUUAAUUCGAUGAUACGCGAGGAACCUUACCCGGGCUUAAAUUGCAGUGGAAUGAUGUGGAAACAUGUCAGUGAGCAAUCACCGCUGUGAAGGUGCUGCAUGGUUGUCGUCAGCUCGUGCCGUGAGGUGUCGGCUUAAGUGCCAUAACGAGCGCAACCCUUAUCUUUAGUUACUAACAGGUUAUGCUGAGGACUCUAGAGAGACUGCCGUCGUAAGACGUGAGGAAGGUGGGGAUGACGUCAAAUCAGCACGGCCCUUACGUCCGGGGCUACACACGUGUUACAAUGGGGGGUACAGAAGGCAGCUAGCGGGUGACCGUAUGCUAAUCCCAAAAGCCUCUCUCAGUUCGGAUCGAAGUCUGCAACCCGACUUCGUGAAGCUGGAUUCGCUAGUAAUCGCGCAUCAGCCACGGCGCGGUGAAUACGUUCCCGGGCCUUGUACACACCGCCCGUCAAGCCAUGGGAGCCGGGGGUACCUGAAGUACGUAACCGCAAGGAUCGUCCUAGGGUAAAACUGGUGACUGGGGCUAAGUCGU